UACCUGGUUGAUCCUGCCAGUAGUCAUAUGCUUGUCUCAAAGAUUAAGCCAUGCAUGUCUAAGUACAAGCCUCACUAAGGUGAAACCGCGAAUGGCUCAUUAAAUCACACCUAAUCUACUGGAUAGUAGUCAGUUACUUGGAUAACUGCGGUAAUUCUGCAGCUAAUACAUGCUAUUAAGCCUCGACUUCGGAAGAGGCGCUUUUAUUAGAUCAAAACCAAUCGGCUUCGGCCGUACCUUUGGUGAUUCUGAAUAACUUUGAGCUGAUCGCAUGGCCUCGCGCCGGCGACAUAUCCUUCGAAGGUGUGCCCUAUCAUCUGUCGACUGUGGCAUAGACGCCCACAGUGGAUUUGACGGGUAACGGGGAAUCAGGGUUCGAUUCCGGAGAGGGAGCCU
rnacentral:rRNA from 1 species